CGAUCCUACGGGAGCGAUGAACCCUUCCAGUUUUAUCUGGACGCCAUGGAAUGGGGGAGCGAGUGGCGUAACCGACCGUGGAAAAG
rnacentral:ncRNA from 1 species